AGUUAAAGAGACAUGGGCCAUUUUUCUCUCCAACUGAGUCUAUCCAGACAAAGUGGAUUCUUCAGCCUGUUUUGGAGGCUGUGUUAUAGCAAAACUUCAGCACCCGCUUUAGAAGUUCAGAGUAGAAAAGAUCAUCUUUACCAGACCAUAGAAAAUGCUCCAUCAUGUCAAAACACACAAGCAAACAAACAAGAAGCAGGUCUGAGCCCGUUUCCCAAUGCUGUGAGACUUGGCUACACGAUAUAUGUUACCAGGGAAUAUGUCUUCCUUUGUACUCAGAAGUGACUCUGCUGCCCAAUUUGGUGCCCAGCACUCAACAGCACCUGAAAGAGGGGAUUCUAGAUGUGGCAAAACCCAAGUCAGUGACAAGCUCCCUUUUCGGAGGAAGCACAACUCCAGGCAUUCUGAUCAUUCUGGCAGAUGAUUUGAAGUGAGGAGGAGUCCAGUGAGGUUGUGUUACUGACCAGUCUUAGCCCCUAUUCUGACCCAAUCUCCCACUGCUCUACCAUAACUAUUCUCUUGCUAAGAUGCUAAAUUCCUUUGCUGCUUUCCCCUUCGUUGGGCAAAGGCCCAGUCCUGAUGAAAGGUAACCAACUUCUCCUCCUUUGCUUGUAUCUAAGCAGUAAAUUGUUGUUAAACCUUGUACCCA